AGUGAACGCUGGCGGUAGGCCUAACACAUGCAAGUCGAACGGCAGCACAGUAAGAGCUUGCUCUUACGGGUGGCGAGUGGCGGACGGGUGAGGAAUACAUCGGAAUCUACUUUUUCGUGGGGGAUAACGUAGGGAAACUUACGCUAAUACCGCAUACGACCUACGGGUGAAAGCAGGGGAUCUUCGGACCUUGCGCGAUUGAAUGAGCCGAUGUCGGAUUAGCUAGUUGGCGGGGUAAAGGCCCACCAAGGCGACGAUCCGUAGCUGGUCUGAGAGGAUGGACAGGCAACAUGGAACAUGGGACCGGGCCAGGCCGCUAAGGGGAGGAGGCAGGGGGUAUUAUGGGAAAUGGGCGCAAGCCUGAUCCAGCCAUACCGCGUGGGUGAAGAAGGCCUUCGGGUUGUAAAGCCCUUUUGUUGGGAAAGAAAAGCAGCAGGUUAAUACCCCGCUGUUCUGACGGUACCCAAAGAAUAAGCACCGGCUAACUUCGUG
rnacentral:rRNA from 1 species